rnacentral:sRNA from 1 species
GCUGCAACCGAGCCAAAUAGAGGGUCUGAGCUCGCUGAGAUAAGGUGAAUCGAUAUAGUUAUGAAGUCUAGCAAGCUCUCAGGACGUUGUGUGUCUCAAACAUAGACUACUCCGGCGAAAAUAACCAUGAAAAUUGUUGUUUCCGCUAGGAUGCGAAAUUUGGUGGACUAACUUUCUGGUACUCGAAUUCAAUUGGCUCGAAGCAAGUUAUUUGACGAUUAUACAACAUACGCCAAUUGUGGAUUAAUAUGAGGAAUCAACGACACGGAUGUAAAUAAACAUACUAUCUUGAUGCCAUUCGCUACAAACAGAAAGACAAAGGCAGUCUAUUUCAUUUUUUUCAGUUGCGAAUUUAUCACAUAAAUUCUCCGUUUGGACCAAACACCUACUACGACACAUCGAGGCAUGCUGGCUUCCGAACAAACUUCGCUGCCAAUAACUAUGAGCCAAGUUGAUGAGUCAGCCUGCCCCGGCUCCAGGUCGGGAGCUAUCGCUCGCUAACAUGACCUCGUUCCACCC